UUCAGUUUAACUCAAAAUGAAACAGUCUUAUGUCCUCUAAAUUCACAGUUGCCUAUGGUCUCUGCACAGUUUUUCUGCCUGGAAGUACUUCUUUAAAAUAAAAUAUCUAGUUGUGGUUGGAUAUACACAUCUCCAAAGUCUCCAGGAGAUGAACCUGAGCUGGAGUCUUCUGGUGAUCAUGAAAAUAUAACAUAAAACAACCAAAAAGAAGAAGAAUAAC
rnacentral:lncRNA from 1 species